ensembl:lncRNA
GAAAAUGCAUGAAUAGAGAGGUUUUUUUACUUAGAACUUCAGAAGCACUCUGCAACAUCACACAGGGGAAGAACCACAGACCUGCGUUUUCGUACAUUAUAUUUGUGUAUUAUACGUUUAUUCACAUCUUUGUCUUUCAUCCACCAUCAUAACCAGCCAUGAGGGCAUCGUUGAUAUUUCUAUUUGUGAUACUGAUGGGUGACCAAAGUCAAUGCCAAAGUGGGGAUUAUGAAAUUGAAUACGAACAUGAACCGGGUCCAGACAUCCUGGGACUGAUCAAACAGACUGCACUGGGCAAGGAAAUCAGUGACAAGAUCUCAGAGAGUGUGGAUGCAAUCAAUCAAUAUGCCCAAGCCGUGGGAAGCAAGGCCCAGUCUAUGUUUGAUAACCUGGGUCGUCAAGCUGAACGUGAAGCCAUGUUUGCCAAACAAGAUAUCCAGAACAACGCCAUUGCUGCUGUCCAGAACGUCCACGGCCGGCUAACGCAGAGUGCUGGGGACAUGCGGCUGAAGACUGAGUCACUCAUCGAGGCGGUUGCACACUCCCUGCAGAUUCAUCUUCACGUGUUUUGGGAGUCACUGACAAAAGGAAAUGAAACACACCCUCUGUUCCAGUGAGAUGCCCAAUGCCAGUGUGAUGGAGGCCCAUGAGUGUGCAUGUCAAUCUUACCUAGAUUAGGUGGGCCAUACCCGCUUAAUACUAUUUAUGAUGUGAAUGAUAAUCUUGCUCUCUCAUUUUUAUCACAACAAAUUCAUCUAGCAGCAGUUUUUCAUUGCUGUUUGUAUUCCUCAAUAACUGAAUGGAGUGUUAAGAGUUGAAUGCUAAGUACACAGAGUGCAAUAAACUCUACUCUCAAACUGUACUCUCAUACUGUUCAUUUAUUAUCUGUUCAUUUAGGCUUCCGCUGAACUACAGAGGCAAAAACAGUAGGCCAGUAUUACUGGGAGGAUUGAAGAGUUGCGAUGAAGGUGUCGGCAGCAGUCGUGCUGGUUUUGAUCAGUGCGGCUUGCCAUGGCUAUGAGGAGCAUGUGGCCCUGGAGAACAGCCUAUUAGAAGCCUGGGGACUGGACGAGACUGACCCUUGGGAUUCCCUGAGGGGGUUAGGGGCUGAGGUGCACCGAGCAUUUACACACGCAAUGGGCGGUGAGGUCAGGAACGAGAUCUCUGGGGGCGUUGACACGGCCGUCCGCUUUGGGAUGUCCAUGUUGAACGACGCAAGAGAUACGGGGGAGAGCGUGUGGGAGCAGAUCUCGGAGGAGGCAGAAAAGCUGGACAGUCAGCUGGAGGAGGACAUGAGCCGCCGGUUGGAGGCCAUCGAGAGUCACGCCGAGGCCUACACUCAGGAGGCGCGCAGGAAGAUCGACCAGAAUCUACUGGAGAUCCAGAAGAACCCCAUCCCUGUGGUCCAGACCUUCCAGGGCCAGCUGGCCCAGACGGCGCUGAAUAUCCGCACGAGCGCUGAGUUCUUUAUCGGAGAGUUUGCGUCACUCUGGGAACCUGCUCUACAGCAAGAUUAAGCUCGCUGCUUAGAUUUUUUCCUUACUUUAGAAGCUCAGCCAUACUGUAUUUUUAUGGAGAUCAUGCUAUGGCUUGAUGUCACCUUGUUUGAAUUCCAGACACUUUACUGUUACAAGAGAUUUCCUUUGCGGUAUUCAGAGUCAAGGGCUUCAGCAAGAGUUGUGUGUGAGAAAUGCAAUUGCAGCUGGCUCAGAAGAGCAGCAGAAUCUGGCUCCCUACGCAGAGGAGCUGAAGGGAAAACUGGAUCCCUUAGCUCAGGACCUGAAGACCCAGCUCACCACAUUGUGGGAUUCCUUCACCAAGAACAGCCAGUAAGAACAGUGUCCCAGAUCUGGCCCUUGCCAGCGGAUGUUUAAUUUAUGCUAACCUAAGAGACUCACUGGCUCAAGACGAUCCCUAUCAGACCUCUGCCAACCAGAUGUUACUCUUGAUGAUCACUUCUUUGAGAUUGUUAUACUAGAGAUGACAGUGACAGAGAAGAGGAUGGUAAUAGUUUCAAAAUAUAUUUAAACAAUAUGUGUGCCACAAGAAUUGUCACAGUUUAAGUCAGACAGUUAAGAAUGUACACCUUGGUCGACACUCCUCUACCACGCCCAAUCGCUAUGACGUCUUCAUUUGAAACUAGAAUUUUAGUUGACAUGGAUUCACUGUGACCUUCCCUCAACAUCAGCAUAAAAUUAGGUCCCAUUUAAAAUAUGGAUGUGAAUAUUCUGUAUUUGAUGUCGAAAUGUCGCAUAAUGGCUCCACUCUACUUGUGUUAGCUUCAGGCACUGAAAAUAUUAAGCCUUCCCGGUUGAAUCUUUUUGUUGGAUUUUUUUUUAUUUUUUUUUAUUGUCACAUGGGCUUCAAAUGUUUCAUUUUAAAAGAAUGACAAAAUAAAUGAUUGC